UCAACUUGAGAGUUUGAUCCUGGCUCAGAACGAACGCUGGCGGCAGGCCUAACACAUGCAAGUCGAGCGAGACCUUCGGGUCUAGCGGCGGACGGGUUAGUAACGCGUGGGAACGUGCCCUUCUCUGCGGAAUAGCCACUGGAAACGGUGAAUAAUACCGCAUACGCCCUUCGGGGGAAAGAUUUAUCGGAGAAGGAUCGGCCCGCGUUAGAUUAGAUAGUUGGUGGGGUAAUGGCCUACCAAGUCUACGAUCUAUAGCUGGUUUUAGAGGAUGAUCAGCAACACUGGGACUGAGACACGGCCCAGACUCCUACGGGAGGCAGCAGUGGGGAAUCUUAGACAAUGGGCGCAAGCCUGAUCUAGCCAUGCCGCGUGUGUGAUGAAGGUCUUAGGAUCGUAAAGCACUUUCGCCAGGGAUGAUAAUGACAGUACCUGGUAAAGAAACCCCGGCUAACUCCGUGCCAGCAGCCGCGGUAAUACGGAGGGGGUUAGCGUUGUUCGGAAUUACUGGGCGUAAAGCGUACGUAGGCGGAUCAGAAAGUUGGGGGUGAAAUCCCGGGGCUCAACCCCGG
rnacentral:rRNA from 1 species